UCCCUGGAGGAUUAGUGGUUAGGCCUCAGCGCUCCCACCGCCGCGGCCCGAGUUCAAUUCUCAGCCAGGGAA